rnacentral:rRNA from 1 species
GAUGAACGCUGGCGGCGUGCCUAAUACAUGCAAGUCGAACGGUCCGCAAGGAUAGUGGCGAACGGGUGAGUAACGCGUUGGUGACCUGCCCUGAAGAGGGGGAUAACGGAUCGAAAGAUCCGCUAAUACCGCAUAAGCUCUCACUAGUUAGAGAGGUGAGAGGAAAGCCGAAAGGCGCUUUAGGAGGGACCUGCGUCCCAUCAGCUAGUUGGUAAGGUAGUGGCUUACCAAGGCGAUGACGGGUAGGGGACCUGAGAGGGUGGCCCCCCACAAUGGAACUGAAACACGGUCCAUACACCUACGGGUGGCAGCAGUAGGGAAUAUUGGUUAAUGGGCGAAAGCCUGACCCAGCAACGCCGCGUGAACGAUGAAGGCCUUCGGGUUGUAAGUUCUUUUUACUAGGGAUGAGGAAGGACAGUACCUGUAGAAUAAGUCUCGGCUAACUACGUGCCAGCAGCCGCGGUAAU